rnacentral:tRNA from 1 species
GUGGGCGUAGUGUAGCGGUUAACACGCCAGGUUGUGGCCCUGGAGAUCGUGGGUUCAAAUCCCAUCGUCCACCCCA